CUCUUAGAACAAGACCUCUUCUCUCAGUUGUCUGUCUCAGGAGCCUAGAACCAUGAAGCUCUUCAUUCUAGGUUUUCUUUUUUUGGCUUUUCUGGUUGCCCUGGCUAGAGCUGACAGUUCAUCUAAAAAGAAUCCAUAUUUUGUACCUGUUCCAUAUCCUCCAGCCAUCGUACUUCCCCCAACUACUCAAAAUGAACCACAAGGAGAACCUCAAUAAAUACAGGUUUUGCCUGGAAGACUGGCUCAUUCUGUCUAUGAAAGUACAAAUCUACAAAUUUGUGAAUCUUUCCAUUUGCCAACUUAGCAGCAUCUAUUAGUGAGCAUUAUAUAGUAGCUCCAAGCUUGUCAGAUUAAUGUGAAUCAUUCCCCCAAAGGACUAAUGCUCUUCUUUACAUUUUCCAUAUAAUAAAUUCAGU